UCUGUGGGAUCAGUGGCGAACGGGUGAGUAACACGUGAGCAACCUGCCCCUGACUCUGGGAUAAGCGCUGGAAACGGUGUCUAAUACUGGAUACGAGUAGCGGCCGCAUGGUCAGUUACUGGAAAGAAUUUCGGUUGGGGAUGGGCUCGCGGCCUAUCAGCUUGUUGGUGAGGUAAUGGCUCACCAAGGCGUCGACGGGUAGCCGGCCUGAGAGGGUGACCGGCCACACUGGGACUGAGACACGGCCCAGACUCCUACGGGAGGCAGCAGUGGGGAAUAUUGCACAAUGGGCGCAAGCCUGAUGCAGCAACGCCGCGUGAGGGAUGACGGCCUUCGGGUUGUAAACCUCUUUUAGCAGGGAAGAAGCGAAAGUGACGGUACCUGCAGAAAAAGCGCCGGCUAACUACGUGCCAGCA
rnacentral:rRNA from 1 species